rnacentral:lncRNA from 1 species
GCAUGGACUAUCCUUUCUUUGAAGGUUAUAAGGUUGUUGUGUGAAAAAUAAAUAAAUACAUAGCUUUUUAAAAAGAAUUCCGGUUAUUUUUGGGUACCCCCUCGU